rnacentral:lncRNA from 1 species
UCAGGCCCAACCGGGUUACCCCUUUAAAACCUUACCUUUCCAAAAACCCUAAGAGGAGAAAAAAUUAGACCCUCCAUUUUACCAAACCCUAGCCGCAGCCUUCUCCCUCCUCACUCUCUCAUCUGCAUACAUGCUCACUCACUCACUUCCUUGUCCUCACAUAAUAUACACCCACACUCAUAUACUCAUUUUCUCCACCUGAAGUUCAUUGUUGAGAUUUGAAAUCUUAGGCGACGAGAAAAUACACAAGAGCGGCAGUUAAAAAUACUCCAAAUAGCCUAAAAAUGUUAGUUUAGAUCAGUAGUUUCAAGGAGCUGUUUGGUUUUAUGUUGAUUUGCUUGGUAGUUUUCUGGUUUUCUAAGAGUGAUUAAACUCUCAAAUCACUGUUGGUUGCUGCUGAUUCACUUUACUGUUGAGCUCCAGAUUUAUCUUUUAUCACUGUUUCUCUCUAUUCUGUUUCGACAUCAAGGUACUCUUCUUGAUUUUGAUCAUGUAACUUGAUUUGGAUAACUCAUAUUCUAUGAAAAUAAUUUCGUGAAACUACAUGUUCUUCUCUGUUAAGCGAGUGACUAUUAUCUUCGAUCUGUAUGCCAUGUUUAUGACUAAUUUCAUAGAUACAUCAUGAGAUUUGCCUAUAUCCUCUCCUAUGCUAGUUUUGUGUUAGUUGUUUGUUGAACUAAGUGUUUAAAUUCAAAUCAUUCUCUGAAUCAGUUUGUUAAUCGCUCAAUGCCUUAUGACUAAUACUAUGGUUUCGAAUAUUGCUUAUAAUUGCCUUUGUGUUAGCUUGAAGUUCUGAUUUUCACUUAGGGUUGAAAGUUGAAGUUACAAACUGCACAUUAAUUAGCUUAGCUGCUACUGACAGUAGAACUAUCCUAAUGAAGCAUUUAAUAAUUUAAAAUGUCAUUAUAUCAGUGUUGGCUGUGCGUUUAGUGAGUUCAUAAGGAUUUGAACUGAAUUUGGUUACUGUUGACGCUCUUCACAUAAGAGAAUGGGAGUUUGAAUGCUUGGGUUCAAGUUGAAGUCGUAGUACGAAGAGUUACGAAUCUCUAUUUGGAUUUUUGUGUUGUAACAACAAAUGAUUUUCGUACUGUGAUGUUAGUUUGAGUAAUCAGGAAUUAAUGUUUUGGAAACAGUCUUGUAGUUGCUUUUAAAUUUGAACAGUCAUGUAUUAAUAUUUGGGGAAGUUGCAUUUGAUAAUGUUGACAAGCAAUCAAUGUAUCACUGGGCCAAUAUAGCUGAAAUGUUAAUUGAGCCUCUAGAAUACAAUCACCACUAUCUUAAGUAACGAAAUGUGUGGCUAUCCCAACAAAUGAAUUCCAUAAUAAUCUAUGGCCUUUCACAUUCAAUCAUAACUCUUAGGAAAUGAACAACCAUGAAUGCGCUAGCAUGCUUUAGGCACGUUCUUAAUUCAAUCAAUUAUCGUGAUUGUGUACACGUUCGCGCGACAUACAUGAAUCCAAAAAUAAAUCAAAGUAUGCGUUCGCGCAACUUUGGCCAAAAAAUAAUCUUCAUAAUUAGUAAAGUGUGAUUAAUUGUGUACACGUACGCGUGACAUAAUUUUAGAGCGAUAAAUAAAAUAGAUUUACACACAUGUAAUACGUUUCAAAGAUAAUUCCAUAACGCCAUAAUUAAAAGCGGUAAAAACAUAAAUGUACAUAGGUUCUAAAAGUAAGUAAUUAAAUAAUUUAAUUAAGCCAUGUAUGAUUAAAGCGACCGUGCUAAAACCACGGAACUCGGAAAUGCCCAACACCUUCUUCCGGAUUAACAGAAUUCCUUACCCGGUCUUCUGUGUUCGCAGACCAAAAAUAGAGUCAUUUUCCUCGAUUUGGGAUUCUAAAAUAAACCGGUGACUUGGGACACCAUAAUCAUUCCAAGUGGCGACUCUGAAUUAAAAUAAAUAAUCCUAUUUCGAUUAAUGUCAUUUUAAUUGAAAAAACUCCCCUAUCCCCUCGGGAAAAAGGAGGUGUCACACUUGAUAUUUGUUAUUAUUACUAAUAAUAUUGCACGAGGGGUGUUUCCGUGCUUGGUGAGAAAGAGUGAUACAUAUAUUUAUAUAUGCACAAAGGGUGUUCCCAUGCUAGUGAGGAUGAAAGGUGAAUGCACGAAAGGUGUUGUCGUGCUAUUGAUAUGAUAUCUUUUACUUAUUUCUCUAUUUAUGCGGAUUUGUCAAUUGACCUUGUUGUUUUCGUUAUUGUUGUUUCAUCUUCUUGGAUUUGAGGUGUUAAGAGAGGCUCGGUUGUGAUAUUUGAGAACUUUGAUCGUUAUUUGUUUUAGUUAAUUAUUUUACUAUUUCUCGUAUCUAUCCUUGUUAUAUAUCUUAUUAUUUCUCUUGCUAUUUCUCUUUUUUUUUAUUGGUUAUUAACUGCAAAGAUUUAUAAGUAGGUGUCUUAUCUUAGCCUCGUUACUACUUUAUCGGAGUUAGGCUCAAUACUUACUGAGUACAUGGGAUCGGUUGUACUCAUACUACACUUUCGCACUUCUUGUGCGGAUCCCAGUAUUGGUCUUAGUGGAAUCCCGAGGGGUGCUUAGAUUGGACAUUUGGGUGAUUUGAGGCAGUGUUGUAUCUCUGUCCAUAGACUCGGGAGUCGCCUUUGUUAUCCCUAUUACUGUUAUUUGUAUCAUACAGUAUUGUAUUCCUUCCAGACUAUGUAUUUAGUAUUCCUAAGAGCUCAUACACUCAGUGACACUAGUCUUAGAGAGUUAUUUAGACAUUUGUAUUGGUUUUAAAUUUAUUAUAUAAUUUCGGAGUUUUUACUCUUUAUUUAUGGUAUUCUAUUGUUAAAUGCUUACUUAUUUUUUCUAUUUUUACUGGUAAGUAUUGGCUUGCCUAGCAAGUAGCAUUAGGCGCCAUUACGACCCCUUUGAUUAGAAUUUUGGGUCGUGACAGUUUACUCAUAAUGUUGACUUUGGUAAACUUUUCCAACUCAAGGCUUUAAUAUGGAAACUAAGGGUUCCAAACCACUCAAAUCAUAGACUCGAACUAAUGAUACAAACAAUAUAAUGAGAUGCUAGAAUUUAAAACGACAUGUCGAUUGGUUUUCAACUUUCUUGGCUCGAGUGUGUGCUUUGAAAGAAGGAUCUUCAAGCUCAACAAAUGAAGCAAUUGGGUUUUCAGAUAAAAGAGAAUGCCAGAUUAACGCUCCUUUUGUGGGAGAUUCUUCGAACUUCUUAAUGAGUAUCAAUUUGAUCAUUGGAUUGGUUAAGUCAUUUCCUCUAGCUCCGGUUGUAUAAGUGAUGACAUAACCUUAGGGAUUUAUUGUUCCAUCAUACUUUGAAAUAUCCGAUACUUUGACCUUCUUUGGUAUUGGCAAUAGAGCAACACUUGGCUUCCAGGGCUGCUGCGAUUAUUUAUCCAUAUAUAUAUAUAUAUAUAUCCCUUUGAUGAGAGUAAGUCCACCAGUUCUGUCGUGAGACGCAAGGGUAUUUUUAUUAAUAGAGUUGACGUCGUGCAUAUUUUUGGAUCGAUAGAUGUACGGAGGGUAUCUGUAAACCGUUAAGCAAAUAAUAGGGAUAGUUUUGACCCUUUUUCAAAUUUUAAAUUAUUGGUAGUACCUGAAUCUCCAAUCCCUAGAUCACCGUGUAGUCCCCUAGUGCUAGAAUUUCUUGGUACUAAGUUUAGAAUCUCCACAACCAACCGCCCCUAUUUGAUUGUUCCGAGCUUGUUGUUGGGAUAUGAAACUCUUCAUUGUUUCUUAUAAGCCGCUUAUUUCUCUACCCCCACUAGAGGAUCUUUCAGGGGAGUUUUUCCUUGAUGCACGUGGUGUACCCCUGGGACUUCGAUCAUCCUGGGUUGACAGUGGUGUUCCUCCCACUGGCAAACCUUGAUUCUCCCGCUGGUCUUGGUCGUCUUGCUGAAGAGGUGCAAUUGAUUGGUUGUUGGAUCCAGACAUAGUAGUUUCUUAAGAAUUAGAUGGCAAAUGAGAAUCAAAGGGAUCCAAGGAGGAUUGAAGGCGAUUUAGGAAUAAAUUCACAAUUACUAGGGCCCAUAGUGGGCACUUUUAAUCUAAAAAUUUGACUAAUAGAUAUAUGUUAGGCCACAAGCAAUUAGAUUAAUCCAAAACAAUCUGACAUAUGAUGAUGAAAAGCAAAGUAGAGAUACAAUGAAUAUGAACAAAAUAACAAAAUUAGUAAAAAAUAAGAAAGAAAUAUUAUUAUUGAGUGUUCUCUCGUGAGUUGGAGCUGAUGAACAGAUUGAUAAUUAAAAGCCAAAUACUGUCAAAAGUUGCAAAAUAUUGCGAAUUUGUCUAAUAAAAUCAAAAUGUUCUCCAACGAUAGGGAAAAAGGGUAUUUAUAGACUGGCCUAAUCGUAACUGCCGCCUACUUUUAUCCAUACACGUUGCUGAAAUUACAGAUAUUUAAGAGAAUAAAAUUAUAACUGCCAAUCAUACUUAAUGAGAUGCAGCGGGUAUCUCGGGAUUGAGGUUCAAGAAAAUCUUGGUAUUAGAAUAUUGAUCUUGGAAUACACUCGUUUUGUCGGGUAUGAGAGAAAUGACCUCGAAAUUAUCUCCUUAAUCUCUAGUCUUCGGUUCGGGUGACUCAGGGUGACUUGGUGUUGGCUAGGAAAUACUUGCUAUAUAUUGACUCUUAUCUUUGCCAUGCGUUUGGUCCAUUUUUUACGAAUACACCUAGGCCUAACAUAGUGAUUAUAACGCUCGUUGGAUUUUGACUUGGAAAUUUUAUAAAACUUUUAUAACAAGUACAAAUAGAUAUUUUCCCUUGGUCUCAAUUUAUUUGACCUUAUAUUUUUAUUAUUUCCAAUCUCUCAUCACGUGCAAUACGUGUAUACCGAGUCAGGUAGUUAACGAUAUUGUAAAAUAAUAUCAAUGUAACGACCCGACCGAUCGUUUUGAGCAAUUACAUUCAGUUCGGUAGCUUGAGAUCAUGAUUAGCUUCAUAUGGUGUAUUAUGACUAGCGUGUAUCGUCGGUUUUGGUUUUUAGAAGCCUCAGAAUUGAUUUGGAAGAAUGAUUCUCAAUUUAGAAGCUUUAAGUUGGAAGAGUCGACCAAGUUUGACGUUGUGUGUUUAACCUCGAAUCGGAGCUUUUAUGAUUCCGGUAGGUCCGGAUGGUAAUUUCUUACUUGAGCGUAUGCCCGAAUUUGUAUUUGGAUAUUUUUAGAAGGUUUCGACACUAUUUGGCGAAAAUUGACAAUCUGAAGGUUUGGAAUGUUCAUAAGUUCGAUCGGGAGUUGAAUUUCAUGAUAUCGAGUUUCGAUUGUUGCUUCGGGAGUUAGAAUAGGUUUGUCAUGUCAUUUGGAACUUGUGUGCAAAAUGUGAGAUCAUUUCUAGUUGAUUUGAUAUGGUUCGCACGAGUUUUGGAAGUUGAAGAUUCAAAAGUUCAUUAAGUUUUAUUUGAGGUGCGAUUUGUGGUUUUGAUGUUGUUAUAUUUGAUUUGAGGCAGUAGGUCUGUAUUAUAUUUUGGGACUUGUUGGUAUGUUCGGAAGGGGUCCCGAGGGGCUCGGGUGAGUUUCGAGGUGGUUUCAGAUCAUUUCGGAUUGGCUUGGAGUUGAUGGUUUAUGUUGUUAGUUGAUGUCUCUGUUGUUCUUCGCGAUCGCGAGGAUGUGGUCACGAUCGCGUAGAGAUUCUUGGAGCUGGCUGAUUUUCUUAAUUGUGUUCGCGACAGGUCGACUGCAUUCUCAUAGAGUCUGGGGCUGAUCUUCUUCGCAUUCGCAUCUGCUUCUAUGCGUUCGCGUAGUGUUGGGCUGGACUUGGUAGGUCGAUGGUUUCCUCUUCGCGUUCGCGAUGUUGCUUCCGCGUUCGUGUAGGUCUGGCAGAUGUGGUCAUCGCUUUCGCGAGACUUGUGUCGCGAACAGGUAGUGUUAAUUUGGGGCAGUGUAAUUUGUGCAUGGCGAAUGUGAGGGUUUUUCCGCGUUCGCGAAGAGCAUCCCUGUUCAGUGAUUAUAAAGUACUCUAUUUCGAAGGUUUUGGUCAUUUUAUCAUAUUUUGAGUCAUGGAGCUCGGAUCUGGCCGAUUUGUGAGGGGAUUUUCAUCACAUGGACUGUGGUAAGUAUUUUCGACUCAGUUUUGGUUAUAUUCCAUGAUUCCACCUUUCAUUUUGGCCUUUAAUUUGUUGAAUCUAUGAGAGAAAUUGGGGAUUUUUGUCAAAACUUUUCUAAACUGAAGAUUUGAGAUUUGAACAUCGAUUCGGAGUCGGAUUUGAGUGAAAUUAGUAUGGUUGGACUCGUAUUUGUAUGGUUGCCAAAAUUUGUUAGUUUUGUCGGAUUUUGAGGUGCGGGCCCGGGUUAACGUUUUGGUUGACUUUGAGUAUUUGAUUAAAGAUUCUACCUUUAUUGUUUGAGUUGCUUUUGGCUAGUUUCGAGCUGUUCGGAGGUCGUUUGAGCGGGAUGGCGCUUCUACUGUAUUGAUUUGGCUUGUUUGAGGUAAGUGUCUUGACUAAUUUUGUUAGGAAACGUUUUUCUACUAAUUGAUAUUGUUUGCUACAUGCGGGGAUGAUGCAUAUGGGAUGUGAUUAUACGGUUCUUUGUGCCUUGUUGGAAUAUGUGACUUUCUUGCUUCAUGUUUUACUUGACUUUUAUAUUAAUAUGAAUAUGAAUUUCAAUGAUAGAAACUAUGAUUUAGCUUAUUAUAACUUGACUAAAACUUGAUGGACUUUAUGAGAAGCUAUUAAUGUGCUAAAUUCGGUCAUCACAAUAUAUAAUCACAAAUACAUCGCUACGACCGUUAUUCUUGAGAUAUUUGGAUUCCAUACUUGAGUUGAAGACCGCUUUUGAGACUUGUUGAGAUACUUGAACAGUAAGGCUCUUAAGGUUUAUUGAAUUGUUAUUGGCUUGAGAGUUUUGAUUGAUAUUCAUUUGGGGUAUUUGCUUAACCACUCUUCUUGAUGUUAUUCAUGUUUCUUACCUUGCUUAUUAUUGAUAUACAUAUGCUUGGUGAGGAAGAGUGUAAAGCACGAAGGGUGAUGCGCCAUUGCAUACACAUUAUUUGAGGAAGAGUGUAAAGCACGAAGGGUGAUGCCAUGCCAUUUCAUAUACAUCAUUACGCACGAAGGAUUAUGCGCCAUUGCAUAUACAUUAUCAUGUGAGGAAGGGAGUAAAGCAUGAAGGGUGAUGUCGUGCCAUUAUUUUUGUAUUAUCACGUGUUCAUGGCACGAA